rnacentral:rRNA from 1 species
UGGGGAAUAUUGCACAAUGGGCGCAAGCCUGAUGCAGCCAUGCCGCGUGUAUGAAGAAGGCCUUCGGGUUGUAAAGUACUUUCAGCGGGGAGGAAGGGAGUAAAGUUAAUACCUUUGCUCAUUGACGUUACCCGCAGAAGAAGCACCGGCUAACUCCGUGCCAGCAGCCGCGGUAAUACGGAGGGUGCAAGCGUUAAUCGGAAUUACUGGGCGUAAAGCGCACGCAGGCGGUUUGUUAAGUCAGAUGUGAAAUCACCGGGCUCAACCUGGGAACUGCAUCUGAUACUGGCAAGCUUGAGUCUCGUAGAGGGGGGUAGAAUUCCAGGUGUAGCGGUGAAAUGCGUAGAGAUCUGGAGGAAUACCGGUGGCGAAGGCGGCCCCCUGGACGAAGACUGACGCUCAGGUGCGAAAGCGUGGGGAGCAAACA